GGCGGCUUUGUGGAGUAGUUGGCAAGAACGCGCGAUGGCUAGUGUCCAUCAUACUGCGGGUUCGAAUCCCGCCACCGGCA